GUUGGGUAGGGGAGCGUUCUGUAAGCCUGCGAAGGUGGCCUGUGAGGGUUGCUGGAGGUAUCAGAAGUGCGAAUGCUGACAUAAGUAACGAUAAAGCGGGUGAAAAGCCCGCUCGCCGGAAGACCAAGGGUUCCUGUCCAACGUUAAUCGGGGCAGGGUGAGUCGACCCCUAAGGCGAGGCCGAAAGGCGUAGUCGAUGGGAAACGGGUUAAUAUUCCCGUACUUGGUGUUACUGCGAAGGGGGGACGGAGAAGGCUAUGUUGGCCGGGCGACGGUUGUCCCGGUUUAAGCGUGUAGGCUGGUUUUCCAGGCAAAUCCGGAAAAUCAAGGCUGAGGCGUGACGACGAGGCACUACGGUGCUGAAGCAACAAAUGCCCUGCUUCCAGGAAAAGCCUCUAAGCAUCAGGUAACAUCAAAUCGUACCCCAAACCGACACAGGUGGUCAGGUAGAGAAUACCAAGGCGCUUGAGAGAACUCGGGUGAAGGAACUAGGCAAAAUGGUGCCGUAACUUCGGGAGAAGGCACGCUGACACGUAGGUGAAGUGAUUUACUCAUGGAGCUGAAGUCAGUCGAAGAUACCAGCUGGCUGCAACUGUUUAUUAAAAACACAGCACUGUGCAAACACGAAAGUGGACGUAUACGGUGUGACGCCUGCCCGGUGCCGGAAGGUUAAUUGAUGGGGUCAGCGCAAGCGAAGCUCCUGAUCGAAGCCCCGGUAAACGGCGGCCGUAACUAUAACGGUCCUAAGGUAGCGAAAUUCCUUGUCGGGUAAGUUCCGACCUGCACGAAUGGCGUAAUGAUGGCCAGGCUGUCUCCACCCGAGACUCAGUGAAAUUGAACUCGCUGUGAAGAUGCAGUGUACCCGCGGCAAGACGGAAAGACCCCGUGAACCUUUACUAUAGCUUGACACUGAACAUUGAGCCUUGAUGUGUAGGAUAGGUGGGAGGCUUUGAAGUGUGGACGCCAGUCUGCAUGGAGCCAACCUUGAAAUACCACCCUUUAAUGUUUGAUGUUCUAACGUGGACCCGUUACCCGGGUUGCGGACAGUGUCUGGUGGGUAGUUUGACUGGGGCGGUCUCCUCCUAAAGAGUAACGGAGGAGCACGAAGGUUGGCUAAUCCUGGUCGGACAUCAGGAGGUUAGUGCAAUGGCAUAAGCCAGCUUGACUGCGAGCGUGACGGCGCGAGCAGGUGCGAAAGCAGGUCAUAGUGAUCCGGUGGUUCUGAAUGGAAGGGCCAUCGCUCAACGGAUAAAAGGUACUCCGGGGAUAACAGGCUGAUACCGCCCAAGAGUUCAUAUCGACGGCGGUGUUUGGCACCUCGAUGUCGGCUCAUCACAUCCUGGGGCUGAAGUAGGUCCCAAGGGUAUGGCUGUUCGCCAUUUAAAGUGGUACGCGAGCUGGGUUUAGAACGUCGUGAGACAGUUCGGUCCCUAUCUGCCGUGGGCGCUGGAGAACUGAGGGGGGCUGCUCCUAGUACGAGAGGACCGGAGUGGACGCAUCACUGGUGUUCGGGUUGUCAUGCCAAUGGCACUGCCCGGUAGCUAAAUGCGGAAGAGAUAAGUGCUGAAAGCAUCUAAGCACGAAACUUGCCCCGAGAUGAGUUCUCCCUGAGACUUAAAGUCUCCUGAAGGAACGUUGAAGACGACGACGUUGAUAGGCCGGGUGUGUAAGCGCAGCGAUGCGUUGAGCUAACCGGUACUAAUGAACCGUGAGGCUUAACCUUACAACGCCGAAGGUGUUU
rnacentral:rRNA from 1 species